UGUGGGAUUAUUCAGUGUGGGAUUAUUCAGUGUGGGAUUAGUCAGCACAUGUGGGCGUAUGUGAUUAUUCAGUGUGGGAUUAUUCAGUGUGGGAUUAGUCAGCACGUAUGGACGUAUGUGAUUAUUCAGUGUGGGAUUAUUCAGUGUGGGAUUAUUCAGUGUGGGAUUAGUCAGCAGGUAUGGAUGUACGUGAUAGUCAGCACAUAUGUGAUUAGUCAGCGUUCGAUUAGUCAGCGUGGUCAUGUGCAAUUAAUCAGUGUGGAUGUGUGUUCGGUCAGCGUGGAUGUGUGUGAUUAGUCAGUGAGGUGUGAUGCAUGUGGUGAAUGCUGGUUUGGUUUACAGG